rnacentral:rRNA from 1 species
GAUGAACGCUAGCGACAGGCCUAACACAUGCAAGUCGAGGGGCAGCACAAUGGUAGCAAUACUAUGGUGGCGACCGGCGCACGGGUGAGUAACACGUAUGCAACCUACCUGUAAGCGGGGAAUAACCCGGAGAAAUUCGGACUAAUACCGCAUAACACUGAAUUACUGCAUGGUAAUUCAUUUAAACAUUUAUGGCUUACAGAUGGGCAUGCGUAUGAUUAGCUAGUAGGUGAGGUAACGGCUCACCUAGGCAACGAUCAUUAGGGGUUCUGAGAGGAAGGUCCCCCACACUGGUACUGAGACACGGACCAGACUCCUACGGGAGGCAGCAGUGAGGAAUAUUGGUCAAUGGGCGAGAGCCUGAACCAGCCAAGUCGCGUGAAGGAAGAAGGUUCUAUGGAUUGUAAACUUCUUUUGUAAGGGAAUAAAAAAGGCUACGUGUAGUCUAUUGUAUGUACUUUACGAAUAAGGAUCGGCUAACUCCGUG